rnacentral:rRNA from 1 species
GGGGGGGGGGGGGGGGGGGGCGGGGGGGGGGGGGGCGGGCGGCCGCCGGGGGGGGGGGGGCGCGGGCGGGGGGCGGGGGGCGGGCGGGGGCGGAGGGCAUCGGAACCUGCUGUGCCGUGGGGGCCGACGUGGGGCCACCGCGGCUAACAGCGCUUACGCCCUCACGGGGGACGCCGGGCCUCCUCGCACCUGGCGCGACCCAGUGCUCGGAUGUCGGAUUAGCUAGUUGGCGGGGUAAAGGCCCACCAAGGCGACGAUCCGUAGCUGGUCUGAGAGGAUGAUCAGCCACACUGGAACUGAGACACGGUCCAGACUCCUACGGGAGGCAGCAGUGGGGAAUAUUGGACAAUGGGCGCAAGCCUGAUCCAGCCAUACCGCGUGGGUGAAGAAGGCCUUCGGGUUGUAAAGCCCUUUUGUUGGGAAAGAAAAGCAGCAGGUUAAUACCCCGCUGUUCUGACGGUACCCAAAGAAUAAGCACCGGCUAACUUCGUG